rnacentral:misc_RNA from 1 species
GAGCGCGUGAGUGGUGUUUGGUUUGUUACGGGUGGUUGGAUGUCUGCUUGCGCAGCAACGUCCAUUCGUACAUACCUCUUCAUUUAUGCGUCAAGGUCAAAUUGGCUUUGAUUGCUUGUUGGGUUCCUGUGUUGCCUACUUACUCUGAUGGUAUUUUGCCUUUCUAACGAUGUCCCUUUUCGUCACACGUUGCUCAUGGGGCGUGUGAUGAACUUAAAAGCGGUCCCUUUGGUCUAUAUUUUUGAUGUCAUUGCAUUGUUGAUGUGGCCUGAUGGGUUUUGUUUGUUUUCUUGGAUACGGAACGUAAUGUGGGUAUGUGGCCUUUAAUGGCCAUGUGUGCACCAUUGCUAUGCGUUGUUGCUUCUAUUUACGACUGUUGGUUGCAUC